CCCUUAGAUGUUCUGGGCCGCACGCGCGCUACACUGACGAAUGCAACGAGCUUAUAACCUUGGCCGAAAGGUCUGGGUAAUCUCCAAAUUUCGUCGUGAUGAGGAUAGAUUAUUGCAAUUAUUAAUCUUCAACGAGGAAUGCCUAGUAAGCGCAAGUCAUCAGCUUGCGUUGAUUACGUCCCUGCCCUUUGUACACACCGCCCGUCGCUCCUACCGAUUGAAUGGUCCGGUGAAGCGUUCGGACCGUGGCCUUUGGACGGUUCGCCGUCUGUUGGCUGCGGGAAGUUCGUUAAACCUUAUCAUUUAGAGGAAGGAGAAGUCGUAACA
rnacentral:rRNA from 1 species